GUGAACGCUGGCGGUAGGCCUAACACAUGCAAGUCGAACGGCAGCACAGUAAGAGCUUGCUCUUACGGGUGGCGAGUGGCGGACGGGUGAGGAAUACAUCGGAAUCUACUUUUUCGUGGGGGAUAACGUAGGGAAACUUACGCUAAUACCGCAUACGACCUACGGGUGAAAGCAGGGGAUCUUCGGACCUUGCGCGAUUGAAUGAGCCGAUGUCGGAUUAGCUAGUUGGCGGGGUAAAGGCCCACCAAGGCGACGAUCCGUAGCUGGUCUGAGAGGAUGAUCAGCCACACUGGAACUGAGACACGGUCCAGACUCCUACGGGAGGCAGCAGUGGGGAAUAUUGGACAAUGGGCGCAAGCCUGAUCCAGCCAUACCGCGUGGGUGAAGAAGGCCUUCGGGUUGUAAAGCCCUUUGUUGGGAAAGAAAAGCAGCAGGUUAAUACCCCGCUGUUCUGACGGUACCCAAAGAAUAAGCACCGGCUAACUUCGUG
rnacentral:rRNA from 1 species